GAUGAAGAACGCAGCGAAAUGCGUUAAGUAAUGUGAAUUGCAGAAUUCAGUGAAUCAUCGAAUCUUUGAACGCACAUUGCGCCCGCUGGUAUUCCGGCGGGCAUGCCUGUUCGAGCGUCAUUUCAACCCUCAAGCUCUCCGGAGUUUGGUGUUGGGGCGCCUGGGGCUUUUCGACCUCAGGGCCCUCAAGUCCAUCGGCGGGACCGCCAGGACACUGAGCGCAGUAGUAUUAUUUCGCUCGGUAGGAUCUUCCACGGCGGGUCGAUCUGGCCGCUAAACCCCCCAAUUCUCACCAAAGGUUGACCUCGGAUCAGGUAGGAAUACCCGCUGAACUUAAGCAUAUCAAUAAGCGGAGGA
rnacentral:misc_RNA from 1 species